rnacentral:rRNA from 1 species
AUUGAACGCUGGCGGCAUGCUUUACACAUGCAAGUCGAACGGUAACAGGCCGCAAGGUGCUGACGAGUGGCGAACGGGUGAGUAAUGCAUCGGAACGUGCCCAGUCGUGGGGGAUAACGCAGCGAAAGCUGUGCUAAUACCGCAUACGAUCUAUGGAUGAAAGCGGGGGACCGUAAGGCCUCGCGCGAUUGGAGCGGCCGAUGUCAGAUUAGGUAGUUGGUGGGGUAAAGGCCUACCAAGCCGACGAUCUGUAGCUGGUCUGAGAGGAAGACCAGCCAAACUGGGACUGAGACACGGCCCAGAAUCCUACGGGAGGCAGCAGUGGGGAAUUUUGGACAAUGGAGGCAAGCCUGAUCCAGCAAUGGCGCGUGCAGGAAGAAGGCCUUCGGGUUGUAAACUGCUUUUGUACGGAACGAAACGGUCUGGGUUAAUACCCUGGGCUAAUGACGGUACCGUAAGAAUAAGCACCGGCUAACUACGUGCCAGCAGCCGCCGUAAAAC